GGGGCGGGGCUUAGGCGUGGGCGGGGCUUCCUCGAGUUCCGGAGUCCAGUUGACGCCUGGGCCAGAGCAAAGAUGCAGCCGCCGCCCCGAAAAGUGAAGCCGGCCCAGGAGGUGAAGCUUCGCUUCCUGGAGCAGCUGAGCAUCCUUCAGACCCGGCAGCAGAGGGAGGCGGAUCUGCUGGAGGACAUCAGAUCCUACAGCAAGCAGAGGGCAGCCAUUGAACGAGAGUAUGGGCAGGCACUCCAGAAACUGGCUGGGCCAUUCCUGAAGAGAGAAGGGCACCGGAGCGGGGAGAUGGACAGCAGACUUUCUCUGGGGAGAGGCAGGAUGGUGUUUGGUGCCUGGCGCUGCCUGCUGGAUGCCACUGUGGCUGGGGGCCAAGCCCGGCUCCAGGCAUCUGACCGAUACCGUGACCUGGCAGGGGGCACAGGGCGGAGUGCCAAGGAGCAGGUGCUUAGGAAGGGAGCAGAGAACCUCCAGAGGGCACAGGGUGAGGUGCUGCAGUCUGUCAGGGAGCUGAGCCGAAGUCGGAAGCUGUAUGGGCAGCGGGAACGCGUGUGGGCCUUGGCACAGGAGAAGGCGGCUGAUGUCCAGGCCAGGCUGAACCGAAGUGACCAUGGGCUCUUCCACACUCGGACCAGUCUCCAGAAACUCAGCACCAAGCUGUCUGCCCAGUCGGCCCAGUACUCCCAGCAGCUGAGAGUGGCCCGCAAUGAAUACCUGCUCAACUUGGUGGCCACCAAUGCCCACCUUGACCACUACUACCAGGAGGAACUGCCGGCCCUGCUCAAGGCCCUGGUCAGUGAGCUGCUGGAACACUUGAGGGACGCCCUGACCUUACUGAGCCGCACUGAGCUGGAAGCUGCAGAGACGGCCCUGGAGCAUGCCCACUGCGGGGGGCAAGCAACCUCCCAGGUGAGCUGGGAGGAGGAUCUGAAGUUCUUUCUUCAGGAGCCUGGAGUAUUUUCCCCCACACCACCUCAGCAGUUUCAGCCAGCAGGGACUGAUCAGGUGUGUGUCCUGGAGCUGGAAGGGGGUGCAGGAGGCGUGGCUGGGGAGAGCGGCCUGGAGAAAGAGGUUCAACGCUGGACAAGCCGAGCUGCCCGCGACUACAAGAUCCAGAACCAUGGGCAUCGGGUGCUGCAGCGGCUGGAGCAGAGGCGGCAGCAGGCUGUAGAGCGAGAGGUUCCAGGCAUAGAACAGCGGCUGCAGGAAGUGAGGGAGAGCAUCAGGCGGGCACAGGUGAGCCAGGUGAAGGGGGCUGCUCGGCUGGCCCUACUGCAGGGGGCUGGCCUGGAUGUGCAGCACUGGCUGAAGCCAGCCAUGACCCAGGCUCAGGACGAGGUGGAGCAGGAGCGACGGCUCAGUGAGGCUCGGCUGUCCCAGAGGGACCUCUCUCCCACGGCUGAGGAUGCUGAGCUCUCUGACUUUGAGGAAUGUGAGGAGACAGGGGAGCUCUUUGAGGAGCCUGCCCCACCGGCCCUUGCUACCAGGCCCCUCCCCUGCCCUGCACAUGUGGUGUUUGGCUAUCAGGCAGGGCGUGAGGACGAGCUGACCAUCACAGAGGGUGAGUGGCUGGAGGUCAUAGAGGAGGGAGAUGCUGACGAAUGGGUCAAGGCUCGGAACCAAUACGGCGAGGUAGGCUUUGUCCCUGAGCGGUAUCUCAACUUUCCGGACCUCUCUGUCCCUGAGAGUGGCCAUGACAGCGACAAUCUCUUGGGAGUAGAGCCCACAGCGUUCCUGGCCUGCGCCCUGUACAGCUACACAGGACAGAGUGCAGAGGAGCUGAGCUUCCCUGAGGGAGCGCUCAUCCGCCUGCUGCCCCGAGCCCAGGACGGAGUGGAUGACGGCUUCUGGAGGGGAGAAUUUGGGGGCCAUGUUGGGGUCUUCCCCUCCCUGCUGGUGGAGGAGCUGCUUGGCCCCCCAGGGCCACCUGAACUCUCAGAUCCUGAACAGAUGCUGCCAUCCCCUUCUCCUCCCAGCUUCUCCCCUCCUGCACCCACCUCUGCCUUGGAUGGUCCUCCUGCAUCUGUCCUACCCAGGGAGAGUACCACUGUCCUAAGUGCUGGAGAUAACAGCAGUGAACAAAACAAAGCUGAAGACUGACUUGUGGUUCUUGUUUCUAGACCAAGACCUGGACUGCCCUGGACCCCUGGAUAUGAUGGCACCUCGCCUCAGGCCGAUGCGUCCACCACCUCCCCCACCGGCCAAAGCCCCGGAUCCUGGCCACCCAGAUCCCCUCACCUGAAGCCAGGGGUAUCUCUGCCCCCCAGUGACGCUGCUGCCCCUAUCUCCACACUGUCAGAGAACACCCCCUCAAUGAUCCAGAGUGAUACAGCCAAAGGCGGGAAUCUCCCCCAUUUCCACUCUCACCUCCAGGAGUAGAAACUUCUCCUCUUCCCAUUUCUGGGGCUGGAACCCACUCUCUUUUCCCCAUCGUGCUGCUGUCUCUAAGGCUGGAACUACUCCUUUCUCUUCUCCCCCAUCCAUCUCUAAGGUGGUGAAAUAUCCUGAAAUCUCUGGGGCUGGAACCCAUCCCUCAAAGUCUUGAGUGGCUCUGGCCCAUCUGUGUGUCCACCCUGGCUCUG